rnacentral:rRNA from 1 species
UACGUAGGGUGCAAGCGUUAAUCGGAAUUACUGGGCGUAAAGCGUGCGCAGGCGGUUUUGUAAGUCUGUCGUGAAAUCCCCGGGCUCAACCUGGGAAUUGCGAUGGAGACUGCAAGGCUAGAAUCUGGCAGAGGGGGGUAGAAUUCCACGUGUAGCAGUGAAAUGCGUAGAGAUGUGGAGGAACACCGAUGGCGAAGGCAGCCCCCUGGGUCAAGAUUGACGCUCAUGCACGAAAGCGUGGGGAGCAAACAGGAUUAGAACCACUUGAUCAGAU